GCCACAUCUAAACCCAUGCCCAUAUCUCAAUGCCAAAUUAGAUUUGGCUUGAGCCUUUUGGCAUCAAAAGAGUGGACCCAAUAAGGGUGGGCGACAAUAGGUGGUGACUCAUAAUCUUAUCUCCUGUCUAAUUCGAAUGCGAUCCGAAUUAGAGAUAAGGUGAAAACAAGAAAAAUAAUUUUUCAAACAAGAAAAAUUGUAGGUGCCUAAUUGAAUUU
rnacentral:lncRNA from 1 species